UACAGAGGUCUCAAGCGUUGUUCGGAUUCAUUGGGCGUAAAGGGUGCGUAGGUGGCGAGGCAAGUCUGGUGUGAAAUCCCGGGGCUCAACCCCGGAACUGCACUGGAUACUGCUUUGCUAGAGUACUGGAGAGGAGAUUGGAAUUUACGGUGUAGCAGUGAAAUGCGUAGAUAUCGUAAGGAAGACCAGUGGCGAAGGCGGCUUCCUGGACCGACACUGACGCUGAGGCGCGAAAGCUAGGGGAGCAAACGGG
rnacentral:rRNA from 1 species